rnacentral:rRNA from 1 species
CCCUUAGAUGUUCUGGGCUGCACGCGCGCUACACUGAAGCGUUCAACGAGUAUUCACCUUGCCCGGGAGGGUUGGGUAAUCUUUUGAAAACGCUUCGUGAUGGGGAUAGAUUAUUGCAAUUAUUAAUCUUCAACGAGGAAUUCCUAGUAAACGCAAGUCAUCAGCUUGCAUUGAUUACGUCCCUGCCCUUUGUACACACCGCCCGUCGCACCUACCGAUUGAAUGGUCCGGUGAAAUCUUCGGAUCUGAGAGAUGUCUGAUUAAUUUCGGACGCCUUUUGGAAAAGUUGCUUAAACCUUACCAUUUAGAGGAAGGUGAAGUCGUANCA